rnacentral:rRNA from 1 species
UACGUAGGGUGCGAGCGUUAAUCGGAAUUACUGGGCGUAAAGCGUGCGCAGGCGGUUUUGUAAGCCAGAUGUGAAAUCCCCGGGCUUAACCUGGGAAUGGCAUUUGGGACUGCAAAGCUUGAGUGCGGCAGAGGGGACUGGAAUUCCUGGUGUAGCGGUGAAAUGCGCAGAUAUCAGGAAGAACACCCGUGGCGAAGGCGGCUCUCUGGGACGUUACUGACGCUGAGACGCGAAAGCGUGGGGAGCAAACAGG